rnacentral:rRNA from 1 species
UGCCAGCAGCCGCGGUAAUACAGAGACUGCAAGCGUUAUUCGGAUUCACUGGGCGUAAAGGGUGCGCAGGCGGCCGUGUGUGUGAGGCGUGAAAGCCCGGAGCUCAACUCCGGAAUUGCACCUCAAACUACACGGCUAGAGCAUUGGAGAGGGUAGCAGAAUUCACGGUGUAGCAGUGAAAUGCGUAGAUAUCGUGAGGAAUACCAGAGGCGAAGGCGGCUACCUGGACAAUUGCUGACGCUCAGGCACGAAAGCGUGGGGAGCAAAAGGGAUUAGAUACCCCUGUAGUCCACGCCCUAAACUGUGCACACUAGGUCUUGGGGGAUUCGACCCCCCCAGGGCCCAAGCUAACGCGUUAAGUGUGCCGCCUGAGGACUACGGCCGCAAGGCUAAAACUCAAAGGAAUUGACGGGGGCCCGCACAAG